AUGGGCACUUCCCCAGCUUUAGUGACUGUGAUGCUGUUCAUACUUGGGAGGACCCAUGGAGAAUCAGUGAUCCAGAAACAAGGUCAAGUGACCCUCUCAGAAAAUGACUUCUUAUUUAUAAACUGCACUUAUUCAACCACAGGGUACCCCAUUCUCUUCUGGUAUGUCCAACAUUCUGGAGAGGGUCCACAGAUCCUUCUGCAAGUCACAACAGCCAACAACAGGGGAAGCAACAGAGGGUUUGAAGCUCUGUAUGAUAAAGGGACCACCUCCUUCCACUUGCAGAAAGCCUCAGUGCAAGAGUCAGAUUCUGCUGUGUACUACUGUGCUCUGCGCGACACAGUGGCAGAAGCUGCAGGGGAACUGAGCAUAAAGUCUGAGAAGUAA